GCCACGGGUCGCUGACAAGCGGAGAGGAGCGAGCUGAGCUCCAGGGUCCUCAGCCCUGGGCCCCUGGACCCGCCUUCUAGGGCCGCGCGGGCGGCCGUCGAGAGUGACCGCACUCCGUCACUCGGGGCUUGCCGCCGGGACACCCCAAAUUCCGACCCCGCGCCUCGCCUCUCUGCUUCGUUGGCCCCUAGCGUCGGCGCGUGGGCGGGCGGUGGGGGCGGAGCUCGCCCUCCCGGGCCGCUGAUUGGCUGUCUCCGCUUCCCUUUCACCUUCCCUGCUGCGAAGUUCAGGUGUGAAGGGACCGCGGUCUGUGAGGCCGACACUGUCUGAUAGGUUGCGGUUUGCUCUCCCAGGGAGGGGUUAACCUCGCCCAGGCUUCUGCGGCAGCGCCCCACCAGCCCAGGUUCCGGAAAUAGUUUGGGUUUAUAUUAUUUUAUCGGACGGUGGAAGAUGUUGGCAUUUAUGUUCGCCUCUACACGAAUGUUUUGCUGGCAACUUAAAUGACUAUUUUUCUCAGAAACGCGAGAUAUUUUCUCCCGCAAGUGUUAAUACUCGUAUUUUUCAUGACAGAUCUUGACCACAAUACAUACAAAAAAUACAUAGAGAUGAUAACUAAUAUAGUUAUAUUGAGUCUGAUCAUUUGCAUUUCUUUAGCUUUCUGGAUUAUGUCUAUGACUGCAAGCACCUAUUAUGGUAACUUACAGCCUAUUUCUCCUUGGCGUUGGCUGUUUUCUCUUGUUGUUCCUGUUUUGAUCGUCUCUAAUGGCUUUAAAAAGAAAAGUCUAAAUCAUACUGGGGCUUUAGGAGGGCUCGUGGUCGGAUUUAUCCUAACCGUUGCAAAUUUCAGCUUUUUCACCUCUUUGCUGAUGUUUUUUCUUUCUUCCUCAAGACUUACUAAAUGGAAGGGAGAAACAAAGAAACGUCUAGAUUCAGAAUACAAGGAAGGUGGGCAGAGGAAUUGGAUUCAGGUAUUCUGUAAUGGAGCUGUGCCCACAGAGCUGGCCCUGCUAUACAUGAUAGAAAAUGGCCCUGGGGAAAUCCCAAUAGAUUUUUCCAAGCAGCACACUGCUUCUUGGAUGUGUUUGUCUCUCUUGGCUGCACUGGCCUGCUCUGCUGGAGACACAUGGGCUUCAGAAGUUGGCACUGUUCUGAGUAAAAGUCCACCGAGGCUGAUAACAACCUGGGAGAAAGUUCCAGUAGGGACCAACGGAGGAGUUACGAUGGUGGGCCUUGCCUCCAGUCUCCUUGGUGGGACCUUUGUGGGCAUUGCAUACUUCCUCACGCAGUUGGUUUUUGUUAAUGAUUUAGACAUUUCUGCUCCUCAGUGGCCAAUUAUUGCAUUUGGAGGUCUGGCUGGAUUACUAGGAUCAAUUGUGGAUUCGUAUUUAGGAGCUACCAUGCAAUUUAGUGGUUUGGAUGAAAGCACUGGCAUGGUGGUCAGCAGCCCAGCGAAUGAGGUGAAGUACAUAGCAGGGAAACCCAUUCUUGAUAACAAUGCCGUGAAUCUGUUUUCUUCUGUCCUUGUCGCCCUCUUGCUCCCAACAGCAGCUGCUUGGGGUUUUUGGCCCAGACAGUGAAUUUUAUUUCAUUUACAAAAAUUAAAACUUCGGUAAAUUCAGCUAAAUUUGCAAUUCCAAGUUUCAUCCCAAGAAGAGUAAUUGUAAUGAAAAAGCAGAAAUGCCAGCUUCUCCUCUAUUCCAUUACAGUGGAACUCCACAUUUUUCCUCUCUCUGACUCCAUUGUAACAACUAAUAUCUUUUUGUUGAAAGACAAGGCUCAUAGAAUUUAUGCAUAUUUUUCUUCUGCUGAAUGGAACUUAAGCAAUGAAACUAUAAUGUCCCUGUAUAUUGAACUGAAAGUUCCUGCAUGGUAGAUAUAAAUUUUGUUUUGUUUGUUUAAAUCAGUAAAGGGACUAAAAGUGAUAAAAUUUUUAAAUGGCUCAGUUGUGGCAGAGAAAUGUCACCAUGCCAAUUAUCCGAAUGUUGUAUCUGUUUUAAGUAUUUAAACCGAUGUGUAUGGAAGCCUGAAUAAGUGUAGUAUCCUGGACUUCUCCCAUUACUUGCCAUUUAUUAUUGUAAAAAGUGUGGAGUUUGGUUCCUGGUGAGCUGCGAGGCCUACUCCAUGUUUGCUCUUCCUUGCUCAGGGUUAGUGAUGAAAAAAAAGUAAAUGUCUUUUUCAUGUGACCAUUAGAAUGCAUGAAAAAACUUAUUUUUAGGUAAAGGAAAAGAGGUAUAUCUUAUGUCUAAAAAAUAUGCACCUUAGUAUAUGUUUUAGUUCAUUUCUGAGCAGAAAUUAUCUUGAAUUUAAUAUUUUUAAUGUAUUUUCUAGCUUUCGUUGAAAUUUGCCUAGGAAACUGAUUUACGUUGGCAUCUUGACCACUUAAAGAGUCACUGGAAAAUUAUUGCAAUUAUUAUUUCAUUUGCUGUCCUAGAAUUCACUGGAAAAUGCUAUGAUUUCCUAUUAUGUACCUUCUAAGUUGUGCUCUCCUUUACAUAUAGCCUCAACCAAAGGAAGCCCUACUUUUCACUUUUGUUCUUCACUUUGAUGUACGUACUAAAGGGGUUUAACAUAGUAUGGAUUAUUGUGCUAAAGUAUUUUGAAAUAUUUCUCAUGUGAUUUCCAUACCUUACUUCCCCUUCCCCUUUUGCAUUCAUAGAAAAAUUGAGGAGCGAUUCCUUGAAUAAGCCACAAUCAGAGUGGAGAAAGCUUUAUUUUCUUUGUUGGUGACCCUGCUACAGUGAUUAUCUAGAAAUGACUUGGUCCAGGAAGAAUUUUUUAAAAAACAGUUGACACACUUAAGCCUUAAGCCAAGAAACUCAGUGGGUCGCAACCCAUCUGCUUUGUGUAUACAUUGGCAUCACCUGAGCAUCUUUUAAAAAAAUACUUGUGUCUGGGCUUCACCCAAAGAUUGUGUCUGGUCUGGGGUACAGCCUGGGUACUGGGACUUUUUAAGCUCUGGCUGCCCGUUAGAGUCAUGUAGGGAGUUUUUUUAAAACACUGUUGUCAAGGCUCCUUUCUAGACCAAGUAAAUCGAAAUGUCUGAAAGUGAGACCCAUGCAUGGGUCAUUUUUAGAAAGCUCCCUCCCUGGGAUAGUCUAAUGUUUAAACAGGUUGAGAACUACUAAAUAAUAUCCGUACACAAAUGUCAAAUCAUUGUGUUGUACACCUGAAACUAAUGUUGUAUGUCAGUAAAAAAAGAUAAAAAAGAAAAGAAUAUCCUAUACCUAAAAGUCUCAAAAGAGUAGGAAUUUUCAUUUUUAUGCAGACAACUAUUAGCAGCAGUGCCGUGUGCUAUGUUUAUGGAUGGAUAGCUUCUGGUAAUUAUACAAAUUUACAGCUACAUCACUUACCAAAUCAUUCCUGUGGCAGUUUUUUGUGCAGCCUCUUUAUUCCUAUAGCUGUUCUAACAUGCCUCUUUUCUCUUUUCCUGGAGAUUCAUCCUCAUGACAUACUUUGGGGCAAAAAUACUCAUUGGAGCCAUUUGGGGUUUGGUAGAAUCACCACAUCAGUAACAGU